ACGGGCAGAGGCUGGAUUCAACCCUAGACAGCCCAAGAGCCCACUCUCUUAGCCAGAGCCUGGAGGGCCUUGUCUCAUCGAGGGUCCCCAUCCCCAGGCCUCCAUCACCCAAUCAUCCGCUGCUGCUGGAUUUGCCCUGAUGUUCAGUGGUCCUUGCUGUGUAACGAGUAUCCCACAUGUAAUGACAUCAAACAAGAACCAUGGGGCGGCUGGGAUCCGAGCAGGACUCUCCUGAGAAGGAACUUGCCAAGAGAACUGAGAAGGAACUAUCCAAGAGAACUGGGCAGAGGCUUGGGCUUGUUGGGACACAGCCUCGGAAUCACACAGCAUUCCUGCUGCCGCAGUUGUAGCGUAAGCGUUCUAGUUUCGCCAUCAGGGAUCAAACUCCGGCCCCCUGCCUUGGGAGAGCGAAGCCUUAACCACCGGACCACUAGGAAGUCCGAGCACUGGUGGUUUCUUCAGGGUUCCUGAGUCUGAGAACACCUGUGUUAGACGAAGGCCUUUGUGAUCACUGGGCUAGACGACCUUCCCUCUCCAGAAACCCAGUGGGUACAUGAUGCCUUCACUGGCUGCUAGACUCAACAUAUUCUUUUUAAAGAGUUUGAAGGUGUUGUCACCUGCCCACUGACCAAGGACAAGUAGCUGUUUGUGCUGGAAAAAAAAUGGUGUAGAUUCAACCUGUUUAGCUACUGUGUUCCUUUGCAGUGUCAACAAAGAACUGAGAUGCAGGCUCCUUGUGUGGUUGUAACUCUUAAUUAUAACUCCAGAGCAGGGGCCAAGAGCAUUUCCCAAAGGACUUCUGGCCUUUAAAAAAUGACCCUCCAAUGGGAAACAAUAGGAGGCUCCCUUUAAACUUGCUUUUCCUUGGUCUGGUGCAGUGCACACAGGGCAAGUCCACAAAUGAUGCUCAAAAUAUGCUCAAAAUAUGUUUAACAGCAACUUUUAAAAAAAUUUUGUGUUUGCGUGCUCCGUCGAUCAGUUGUGUCUGACUCUUUGUGGCCCCAUGGACUGUAUUCUGACAGACUCCUCUGUCCUCGGAAUUUUCCAGGCAAGAAUACUGGAGUAGGUUGUCAUUUCCUCCUCCAGGGAAACUUCCCAACCAGGGCAUCGAACCUGUGUCUCUUGCACGUCCUGCUCUGGCAGUCAGGUUCUUACCCCUAGCGCCAUCUGGGAGGGCACGAAAGCUGGAACUAGUGCCUGGGAAUAUUUUUCAUACUCCUAAAAUGCCAAGUGGCUGAACCCGUCUCUUUUUUUCUAAUUUGGUGUGAAAUUCACAAAGAUCAUUGUAAGCAGUUUAUUCAUAACCGAGCAAUAAAACCGUGACAAGAUAAGCCCGCUGCCCAAGCGGGGAUGGGCCGUAUCUCCUUCCGUGUACAAACUCACCAUAUUGCAAAACUGUCGGCUUGUCUCCCGAGGUGAGAAGAGGUCCUUGGUGUUUGCUCAGAGCUGUUCCCUGCAGGC
ensembl:lncRNA